GGGGCAUGUGCACGCUCUGUUCACACAUCCACUCACACCUCUGUGCACCCUCUGUAGCUCUGUGGUCUGGAGGACUUGCCGUUCUCCUUCCGUAGUUCUACGUCUUUACACACACACACUGUAGUUAAGUCUUAUGGAAUGUGCAUCGCGUUUAACGCAAUACAAUACAACUUUCAGCAACGGAUCUCUUGGCUCUCGCAUCGAUGAAGAACGCAGCGAAAUGCGAUAAGUAAUGUGAAUUGCAGAAUUCAGUGAAUCAUCGAAUCUUUGAACGCACCUUGCGCCCCUUGGCUAUUCCGAGGGGCAUGCCUGUUUGAGUAUCAUGAACACCUCAACUCUCAUGGUUUGCCGUGAUGAGCUUGGACUUUGGGGGUUUUGCUGGCCUGUGGCCGGCUCCUCUCAAAUGAAUCAGCUUGCCAGUGUUUGGUGGCGUCAUGGGUGUGAUAACUAUCUACGCUUGUGGUCGUCUGCAACCUUCAGUGAUGGAGGUUCGCUGGAGCUCAUAAACGUCUCUCCUCAGCGAAGACAGAAUUUCGAACGUUCGAUCUCAAAUCAGGUAGGACUACCCGCUGAACUUAAGCAUAUCAAUAA
rnacentral:rRNA from 1 species